rnacentral:ribozyme from 1 species
UUUUUUUUUUUUUUUUUUUUUUUUUGUUUCCCU